ACAGUCCAGGGCGGGGACGGGGCGAAAAGUCCGUAUAUGGAGUCGGUCUCUAUUUGUUGGGGUUUCGGCUCCACUGUGGGAAUCGGCCUCUCCUCUUCCUGCCCACGGAACAGUGAGUUUCUGUCAGCGCCUCAUCGCACCGGCUCUUUGCCUCAGAAAACUCAGCAUCUACUUCAACACAGCAAGCUUCCACAAACAACAUAAUCAAUGGAAAUGUCAAUCCAUGGCCUCCUAUACUGUCCCAAUGAGGCCACACUCAGAGGACAGCAUUGUAUUGCAACAGCCUGGCUGUGUGAGGCACAGCCCUUCAAAAUCAGUGAAAAUGACCCAAAACAAUGAAUAGAGCAGAACACGAAGAUUUUAACCACACAAGACGUCAUCCUUGGUCCAGAGCUGUGAGGAAUGAAGACUAUUUGGGACAAAACCCUAGUGAAUUCAUCUUCUGCAGUUUCCAGAAAGUUAUGGAUUUAAUUCAAAGUAAACCUCUGUAUCACAAGCUGAGCAGUUGCAAAAUGUAUAUUAUAGGGUGAGUGACAGGUGAACAGCAGUGAUGGAUUUGAAAGCUCUGGGGUAGAAAAGGAACAAAAGCCGGUACCAGAUGAACUGAGUGGCCUUUCUACUGUACAUUAGCUGUGUGGCAGGCAGGAAGUUCCUGAGACACAAGAUUUGAAAUAGAGCUGAUUAAUUUGUCACAGAUCCACAACAUUAAUGCCAGAGUAUUUUCAGACUAACUUCAGCAGAACAAACACUCCAAUGCUCAGUGACCAGGGUUCAGUCACAAUAUCUGCAAAAUCUGAUAUUGACAGUCUCACAUGAACUUCCAACUAGAUUCAGUCAUCAUGAUGGUUAAAAUGUUCACCUAAAGCUUUAUUAAACUUCCUCCCUGAUGUGAAGUUGCCAGUGUUUCUGCAGGUGGGAUGACUGAGUAAAUUUCUUUGCUGACACAAGACCGAAGUGUGUCCUCUAUGUAUUUUAAACUUGCUGGAGCCUCACAAAAUGGGUGAACUGAGUGAAUCUCCUCCCACGCUUGGAACAGGUGUGAAGCUAUACUGAGAGACAGAGACAACUGAGCCAAGUCUAGCUGCUCACCGAUGUGACCCGGCUGAUGGAGUAAGAGCUCAUGUGACUGAAUGAAUCCUCUCCCACACACAGAGCAGGUUAAUGCCCUCUCCCCAUGUGAACUGGCUGGUGUAUCUGCAGGUUCAGUGGCCUGGUGAAUCCCUUGCAAAAUGAGAGGAAGUGAAUGUCAGCUCAGCGGUAUCAACUCUGUGGCCAUUUAUCAGGUCAGAUGAAGGACAUGUCCACGUAUUGGGGUUCUCCUUGCUCAGACUGGUGGGCAGUCUUCUCAACCAUCUCCUCCUUCACAUUCAAUGAUUAGUAGUAUUCAAAUGUCAGGGAACUGACAAUCACAUGAGUCCAGACACACUGUUGCGUUUGAGAUUCUCAGACAUAAAUUCUUUGCCUUUUCUGCCCUGUAAAAUGUUUGCAAAGAAGACCAAUAGGUGAAAGACAACAUUUCAGCUGAGAUUAUUUAGUUUUUUUCAUUGAUGUCUGAUGUCACACUGUUAAGGAGAGGCUGAACACAAUUUGCUGGAUCAACAUUUCCAGCUGAGAAUAGUUCAGGCAUAAGGACACAACAUCAGAUUCUCUGUUUUCCUCUCUGCCCUUCAUCAAGCUGUGACUUGGCUCAGUUUGUCUCUCUCCAUUCGUACAACUUCACAUUCUGGGUAUCUCCCACAGACCUACUAAGAACACACAUUUGUUGGCAUUUGGCAGUGGUAAACUCGGAGUCAGCAAUGCCAUUGAACCUGAAGAGAAUGUGAUCAGGCUUUCUCGUUGCAGACUGACACUGUGGUAUUCUUGUAGUGUGAAUGCUACUGGUACCCAGUAUGUUAUUGUGGGUUUUUACAAAUAAAAUGGCAUGAGGCAUUUUAUGUUUAGUGACAACUGUAACAACUCAUUUAUUAUCCUCCAAACACAGAAACAAAGCACAGUUUAAAAUAAAAUGACAUAAUUACAUCAUAACAUCUGUCCAGCCUUUUAAAGAGAAACACAACUCAAUGUUGGUGGUUGUUAAUUCUGCAUGUUUCCACCCAUUACAUUAAUCUACACAGACACCCCUCCCCCCCCCCCAGUCCUCUCACUGCUCCCCCUCUGUG